AGAUGAUGUGCCCAUCACAAUGAGUUCUGAUUGUGAUGUUAUGGUGAACACACAGGUAUCAGGAAGACCUAACACAUCUACAAGUUGACCUCUGCUCCUACUUACUAUUUGCAAGCUCUGAUUUCACUGGGUUGCUUAGCUUAACUUUACCAAAUAAAGACAACUUGCAAGGGUGUUGUGAGCUUAUCCAACCUACAGAACUAAUUGGAACCUAUGUCUAAUGCCUCGGUGAAUUCUAAGACCCCUGCCAUCGUAGAACUUAAAGGAAAUGAUUGAGUGCAACAAGACCAGAGACAGAGAUCCCUGAUCAGUUAUUUUCAGAAAGGUAAUUUAAAAUAAUUAUAGUUAACUGGAAAAAGAGACAAAGAAAAGUUAAGAUAUUAAGAGACUGUAGCUACAGGAAACAGCUGCCAUCCUCUGGGCUAGGGGCACAUGAGAAGGUGAAAGACCCAGAGGACUUCUUCCCAGCUUCCACUAGCUCCUAGAAGCCUCCAAGAGGCAGGAUAUUGAAACUCACCAGGAAAUAGGGAAUGUUCACCAGAGAAGCAGCUGAAGAGCUCUCCAGGUGCCUGGAACAAGCAUCUGGGCUCACCUAGAGACUUGCUUUGUUUGACCUUUAGAGAGCAGUAGAAGUGAGUGUAUAACUCUGGAAACUCUGGACGUUAAGAGAUAUAGAAUUUUCUGUGUUUUGCCACCUUGGGACAGUAAAUUACCACCUGACUCUUCACUUGGAGAACAACAACUGGCUGACAGGUAAUACCAGCUCUAGACCCGUGAAGAAAACCAACUUAGAUGUUCUAGGUCCAGCCAGCCUUCUGCAUGACUUUGCAGACUGUGCUUAGUCAAAUACUUCAUGGAGCAGAACUGCCCAACUGAGCCCAGCCCCCACACACAGUUGGGAGAUAUGAUAAAAUAGAAGGCUUGUUGCAUAGCGAUAGACAUCUGACAUUAUGUCUAAAAUCCUAUGUAAACAAUCAGACAAAUGCACAAAAAGUGUGCAUGAAUUCUUGUAGUGUAACAAUAAAAAUGUUCGAACAAAACCGAAA